GGAGGGUGCAAGCGUUAUUCGGAAUUAUUGGGCGUAAAGCGCGUGCAGGCGGGCGAGCAAGUCUGAUGUGAAAGCCCCGGGCUCAACCUGGGAAGUGCAUUGGAUACUGUUCGUCUUGAGUUCUGGAGAGGAUGGGGGAAUUCCCGGUGUAGAGGUGAAAUUCGUAGAGAUCGGGAGGAAUACCAGUGGCGAAGGCGCCCAUCUGGACAGUAACUGACGCUGAGACGCGAAAGCGUGGGGAGCAAACAGGAUUAGAUACCCUGGUAGUCCACGCUGUAAACGAUGAGCACUAGGUGUAGCGGGUACUCAUUCCUGCUGUGCCGCAGCUAACGCGUUAAGUGCUCCGCCUGGGGAUUACGGUCGCAAGACUA
rnacentral:rRNA from 1 species